rfam:Sclerotinia borealis F-4128 unplaced genomic scaffold scaffold00096, whole genome shotgun sequence.
ACAUACGACCUGGAUAGACUGAAGAGAAUUGGGCAUCCCGUCCGCUCUGCCAUACACAAGCUUCAGAUCGGUGGAUUAGUAGUUGGGUGGGUGACCACCAGCGAAUCCCCACUGUUGUAUGUU